rnacentral:rRNA from 1 species
AGUGAACGCUGGCGGUAGGCCUAACACAUGCAAGUCGAGCGGCAGCACAGUAAGAGCUUGCUCUUACGGGUGGCGAGUGGCGGACGGGUGAGGAAUACAUCGGAAUCUACUUUUUCGUGGGGGAUAACGUAGGGAAACUUACGCUAAUACCGCAUACGACCUACGGGUGAAAGCAGGGGAUCUUCGGACCUUGCGCGAUUGAAUGAGCCGAUGUCGGAUUAGCUAGUUGGCGGGGUAAAGGCCCACCAAGGCGACGAUCCGUAGCUGGUCUGAGAGGAUGAUCAGCCACACUGGAACUGAGACACGGUCCAGACUCCUACGGGAGGCGGCAGUGGGGAAUAUUGGACAAUGGGCGCAAGCCUGAUCCAGCCAUACCGCGUGGGUGAAGAAGGCCUUCGGGUUGUAAAGCCCUUUUGUUGGGAAAGAAAAGCAGCAGGUUAAUACCCCGCUGUUCUGACGGUACCCAAAGAAUAAGCACCGGCUAACUUCGUG